rnacentral:rRNA from 1 species
GUACACUCCUGCGGGAGGCAGCAGUGGGGAAUAUUGGACAAUGGGCGCAAGCCUGAUCCAGCCAUGCCGCGUGAGUGAUGAAGGCCCUAGGGUUGUAAAGCUCUUUCACCGGUGAAGAUAAUGACGGUAACCGGAGAAGAAGCCCCGGCUAACUUCGUGCCAGCAGCCGCGGUAAUACGAAGGGGGCUAGCGUUGUUCGGAUUUACUGGGCGUAAAGCGCACGUAGGUGGACUAUUAAGUCAGGGGUGAAAUCCCGGGGCUCAACCCCGGAACUGCCUUUGAUACUGGUAGUCUUGAGUUCGAGAGAGGUGAGUGGAAUUCCGAGUGUAGAGGUGAAAUUCGUAGAUAUUCGGAGGAACACCAGUGGCGAAGGCGGCUCACUGGCUCGAUACUGACGCUGAGGUGCGAAAGCGUGGGGAGCAAACAGGAUUAGAAACCCGGGUAGUCCCA